rnacentral:rRNA from 1 species
GACGAACGCUGGCGGCGUGCCUAAUACAUGCAAGUAGAACGCUGAAGAGAGGAGCUUGCUCUUCUUGGAUGAGUUGCGAACGGGUGAGUAACGCGUAGGUAACCUGCCUUAUAGCGGGGGAUAACUAUUGGAAACGAUAGCUAAUACCGCAUAACAAUGGAUGACACAUGUCAUUUAUUUGAAAGGGGCAAUUGCUCCACUACAAGAUGGACCUGCGUUGUAUUAGCUAGUAGGUGAGGUAAUGGCUCACCUAGGCGACGAUACAUAGCCGACCUGAGAGGGUGAUCGGCCACACUGGGACUGAGACACGGCCCAGACUCCUACGGGAGGCAGCAGUAGGGAAUCUUCGGCAAUGGGGGCAACCCUGACCGAGCAACGCCGCGUGAGUGAAGAAGGUUUUCGGAUCGUAAAGCUCUGUUGUAAGUCAAGAACGGGUGUGAGAGUGGAAAGUUCACACUGUGACGGUAGCUUACCAGAAAGGGACGGCUAACUACGUGCCAGCAGCCGCGGUAAUACGUAGGUCCCGAGCGUUGUCCGGAUUUAUUGGGCGUAAGGCGAGCGCAGGCGGUUUGAUAAGUCUGAAGUUAAAGGCUGUGGCUCAACCAUAGUUCGCUUUGGAAACUGUCAAACUUGAGUGCAGAAGGGGAGAGUGGAAUUCCAUGUGUAGCGGUGAAAUGCGUAGAUAUAUGGAGGAACACCGGUGGCGAAAGCGGCUCUCUGGUCUGUAACUGACGCUGAGGCUCGAAAGCGUGGGGAGCGAACAGGAUUAGAUACCCCGGUAGUCCACGCCGUAAACGAUGAGUGCUAGGUGUUGGAUCCUUUCCGGGAUUCAGUGCCGCAGCUAACGCAUUAAGCACUCCGCCUGGGGAGUACGACCGCAAGGUUGAAACUCAAAGGAAUUGACGGGGGCCCGCACAAGCGGUGGAGCAUGUGGUUUAAUUCGAAGCAACGCGAAGAACCUUACCAGGUCUUGACAUCCCGAUGCUAUUUCUAGAGAUAGAAAGUUACUUCGGUGCAUCGGUGACAGGUGGUGCAUGGUUGUCGUCAGCUCGUGUCGUGAGAUGUUGGGUUAAGUCCCGCAACGAGCGCAACCCCUAUUGUUAGUUGCCAUCAUUCAGUUGGGCACUCUAGCGAGACUGCCGGUAAUAAACCGGAGGAAGGUGGGGAUGACGUCAAAUCAUCAUGCCCCUUAUGACCUGGGCUACACACGUGCUACAAUGGUUGGUACAACGAGUUGCGAGUCGGUGACGGCGAGCUAAUCUCUUAAAGCCAAUCUCAGUUCGGAUUGUAGGCUGCAACUCGCCUACAUGAAGUCGGAAUCGCUAGUAAUCGCGGAUCAGCACGCCGCGGUGAAUACGUUCCCGGGCCU